UUCCUUGUCGGGUAAGUUCCGACCUGCACGAAUGGCAUAAUGAUGGCAGCGCUGUCUCCAGCAGAGACUCAGUGAAAUCGAAAUCGCAGUGAAGAUGCUGUGUACCCGCGGCUAGACGGAAAGACCCCGUGAACCUUUACUACAGCUUUACAUUGAACUUUGACCUAACUUGUGUAGGAUAGGUGGGAGGCUUUGAAGCAGAUACGCCAGUAUUUGUGGAGCCAACCUUGAAAUACCACCCUGGUUAUGUUGGGGUUCUAACUUAGGAUCAACAAAUCCAAGGACAAUGUAUGGUGGGUAGUUUGACUGGGGCGGUCUCCUCCUAAAGAGUAACGGAGGAGUACGAAGGUGCGCUCAGAACGGUCGGAAAUCGUUCAAAGAGUAUAAAGGCAAAAGCGCGCUUAACUGCGAGACCCACAAGUCGAGCAGGUACGAAAGUAGGUCUUAGUGAUCCGGUGGUUCUGUAUGGAAGGGCCAUCGCUCAACGGAUAAAAGGUACUCUGGGGAUAACAGGCUGAUACCGCCCAAGAGUUCAUAUCGACGGCGGUGUUUGGCACCUCGAUGUCGGCUCAUCUCAUCCUGGGGCUGAAGCAGGUCCCAAGGGUAUGGCUGUUCGCCAUUUAAAGAGGUACGCGAGCUGGGUUUAGAACGUCGUGAGACAGUUCGGUCCCUAUCUACCGUGGGCGUUGGAAAUUUGAGAGGAUCUGCUCCUAGUACGAGAGGACCAGAGUGGACGAACCUCUGGUGUUUCGGUUGUCACGCCAGUGGCAUUGCCGAGUAGCUAUGUUCGGAUGGGAUAACCGCUGAAAGCAUCUAAGCGGGAAGCCCACCUCAAGAUAAGAUUUCCCUAAAGAGCCGUUGUAGACGACGACGUUGAUAGGUUGGGUGUGGAAGUGUAGUGAUACAUGUAGCUAACCAAUACUAAUUGCUCGUUUGGCUUGACCAUACAACACCCAAGUGGUUUACCACUGACUGUGUUGAUUGGUAAUAUGUAAGAUGAACCUUAAUCUUGAUUUGGUAAUAAACAGACUCAUACAGCGUUGUUAAUCCUUUUACGCUGACGACAAUAGCAAGAUGGAACCACCUGAUCCCUUCCCGAACUCA
rnacentral:rRNA from 1 species